rnacentral:rRNA from 1 species
AGUACCGUGAGGGAAUGGUGAAAAGUACCCCGGGAGGGGAGUGAAAUAGUACCUGAAACCGGGCGCUCACGAGCCGUCAGAGCCCCUUGUCGAGUCAGUGGCGUGUCGCGAGGUUAACCCGUGUGGGGUAGCCGUAGCGAGAGCGAGUCCGAAUAGGGCGAUUGUAGUGGCGCGUUCUGGACCCGAAGCGGGGUGAUCUACCCAUGGCCAGGUUGAAGCACGUGUAAGAGCGUGUGGAGGACCGAACCCACCUAGGUUGAAAACUGGGGGGAUGAGCUGUGGGUAGGGGUGAAAGGCCAAUCAAACUCCGUGAUAGCUGGUUCUCCCCGAAAUGCAUUUAGGUGCAGCGUCGCGUGUUGCCCGGCGGAGGUAGAGCUACUGGGUGGCUGAUGGGCCCCACAGGGUUACUGACGUCAACCAAACUCCGAAUGCCGUCGGGUUGUAGCGUGGCAGUGAGACCGCGGGGGAUAAGCUCCGUGGUCGAGAGGGAAACAGCCCAGAUCGCCGGCUAAGGCCCCUAAGCGUGUGCUAAGUGGGAAAGGAUGUGCGGUCGCGCAGACAACCAGGAGGUUGGCUUAGAAGCAGCCAUCCUUGAAAGAGUGCGUAAUAGCUCACUGGUCAAGUGAUUCCGCGCCGACAAUUCAGCGGGGCUCAAGCCGUCCGCCGAAGCUGUGGCGUCCGCGCGUGUGCCGGGCGCCGGGCCUUGUGUCCGGUGCCGGGCGUGUGGAUGGGUAGGGGAGCGUUGUGCGUGCCGUGAAGCGUCGGGGUGACCCGGCGUGGAGUGCGCGCGAGUGAGAAUGCAGGCAUGAGUAGCGUUUUGACGGGUGGGAAACCCGUCCGCCGAAUAUCCAAGGGUUCCGGGGUCAAGUUGAUCUGCCCCGGGUGAGUCGGGUCCUAAGGCGAGGCCGACAGGCGUAGUCGAUGGUUGACGGGUUGAUAUUCCCGUACCGGCCCAGCAACGGUCCUGUCGAAUCGGGUGAUGCUAAGCACGCGAGAUGUCUCCGGCGCUUUCGGGUGCCGGUGGCGUCGAGUCUGUGAACCGAGUCUGUAGUAGACAAGCUGCGGAGGGACGCAGGAAGGUAGCUCGACAGCCGUCAUGGUAAGGCUGUCAAGUCUGUAGGGUGACUGGUAGGCAAAUCCGCUGGUCGUGUGCCUGAGAGAUGAUGAGAGGGGCCCUGUCAGCAGGGUCCGUGUUCGAGUGAUCCUAUGCUGCCUAGAAAAGCUUCGUGAGCGAGUUGUUGUGCCGCCCGUACCCCAAACCGACACUGGUGGAUAGGUAGAGAAUACCGAGGCGAUCGAGAUAAUCGUGGUGAAGGAACUCGGCAAAAUCCUCCCGUAACUUCGGGACAAGGGAGACUUGAGGCGUGAGGGGCCCGCGCGGCCCUCAGCGCCGGGAGUCGCAGUGAAUUGACCCAAGCGACUGCUUACUAAAAGCACAGGUCCGUGCGAAGUCGUAAGACGAUGUAUACGGACUGACUCCUGCCCGGUGCUGGAAGGUUAAGAGGAUUGGUUAGCCCUUUUGGGCGAAGCUGAGAAUUUAAGCCCCAGUAAACGGCGGUGGUAACUAUAACCAUCCUAAGGUAGCGAAAUUCCUUGUCGGGUAAGUUCCGACCUGCACGAAUGG